rnacentral:lncRNA from 1 species
CCUAGGACCCGUCUAGUGCUUUUUGAAAAGCUAGUUGUUGCGUCAUAUUACUAUACAACCGUUGCAUGAUAUCCCUGCCCUAAAACCUGAAAUUUGACUGACUUAUAAUUUGCCCUAAAACCAGAAAUCUGAUUGACUUGUAAUUAGAUUUCAAAAUAAGCCAAAAGGCCAAUAAAAUCUACUCUAUCCAAAGAGGCAACAAAACCAGAAAAUUGAUAUCACUUCACAUGGCUUAUAAGAAUGUAAAAUAUGAUUUAUCAUUAAAGCUCAGCAUAAUUCACUAAAAUCUGGUCAAUGGAAUCUAUUAUUAGCAGAAAAACCAAACAAUUCACAACAAUUUACAUUCCCAUGUACAAUAGAAAUAUGGAUAAUUAAAAUUUGCAUUCAUCAUCAUCAUCAAAGCUUUUUCCCAAUCAAAGACAAAAAUUGCAUUGAUUGAAAUUCACAUUACCCCCAAUUUCUCGUCUUAAUGCUCGAUUCGAUUUCUCCUCUUAAGGCUCGUUUCUGGAUACCAGAAACUCCAUAACCUUCUUUUGCAACACGGUGAAGGCCGCAACCAUUAAAGGUGGAAAAGACGAGGAAGAAGGCAUAGAAGAAGCUUCUUGUUCGAGAUGCUCCUCGAUCAUGGCUCUCAUUGAUCUCAGAGAGAGAGGAGAGAAGGCCUCGCCCCACUCGUCAACAACCCCUCUGAGACAAUCCCAUUUCUCUGCUUCCCGUAACGCGCGCCAUCGCCUCGCCAUCUCUGAAGAGUUCGCCAUACCCGUGUGGUCUUAGAGGGCCAUCAGAAGGAGCUCUCUGCUCUUUUUCAUGGCGUUCUCUCUCUGUAGACUGUUGCCUUUCGCCUUCAUAGCUUGUGCCCUUAGCUCGGCUGCGAUCUCUGCAUCGCCAUUGCUGCUUUUGCUAUGGGCCAGUAGAGAAGGGAUUCUAGUUCUUUUGGUGGAUAGAAAGAGGUUGGGGUUUCUUAGGGUUAGGAUUUGGGGUAGGAGGGGUAAGAGAAAGGUAGGGUUAAGGUUACUCUUCGGGAGAGUUGGAGGAAAGGACGCCAUGACUGUUAGGGUUUGGAAAGGGAAAAGUGUUUUAAAAUGAGAAAAUGUUUUGAGGGGUACAGGCCUAAUAAUUCCUCACCUCAUAACUCAAAAAUUGCAAGUUUACUGGAGAACCUUUACAUCGAUCAACAUUAUCGUUGUAAAAAAUAUAGGAUUUUAAGUUAAAAAUGUAGUGUAUAUUAUUACAAAUUUUUUUUAAUUUUUUUUAAAAAUAAGUAUUUAUAGAUCCAUAAGAUUUGCUUUAAACUUAAUUUUGGAGCCAUUAUAAAGAUUUUCUCAGCCGGAAAAACUCUCCAGACGAGGAUUUGGUGUGCGGCUUUAUUUUGUUUUCAUAAAGUCUAGGCCUUGUAAGAACUUCAUCCUUUAAAAUAACAAUGUUGCCCUUUAAAAUUAGUGUGGUUGGUCUUCAUGAGCAGAUUGGGCUUGUAUGCUGGAUUAAUGUUGAAUAAGAAUAGCAAUGGGCCGGGCUUCUUUGGCCUUGGUCUUCCUCUUAUUCCCAUAGGGUUCGGCCAAUACUGCCCCACCCCUAUUCAUAUUUUGUGGCCCAGGUCUUAUUUUUCGUAGUGGCUGCUAGGCCAUUGCCAGUCCUUACUCAUUCGUGGCCCACUCAUAUGGUGCCAAAUUCUUGUUGACUCGCUUCAUAGCUAAACUAAGUUUUUAUGUAAUGACUCUGCCAAAACCAUGUUGAUUUGAGAAAUUAAAAUGAGAA